UACGUAGGGGGCAAGCGUUGUCCGGAUUUAUUGGGCGUAAAGCGCGUGUAGGCGGCCAGGUAGGUCAGCUGUGAAAACUCGAGGCUUAACCUCGAGAUGUCGGCUGAAACCAUCUGGCUAGAGUCCGGAAGAGGAGAAUGGAAUUCCCGGUGUAGCGGUGAAAUGCGCAGAUAUCGGGAAGAACACCCGUGGCGAAGGCGGUUCUCUGGGACGGUACUGACGCUGAGACGCGAAAGCGUGGGGAGCGAACAGG
rnacentral:rRNA from 1 species